rnacentral:rRNA from 1 species
UACGAAGGGGGCUAGCGUUGCUCGGAAUGACUGGGCGUAAAGCGCACGUAGGCGGCUUGUUAAGUCGGAGGUGAAAUCCUGGAGCUCAACUCCAGAACUGCCUUCGAUACUGGCGAGCUUGAGUUCGGGAGAGGUGAGUGGAGCUGCGAGUGUAGAGGUGAAAUUCGUAGAUAUUCGCAAGAACACCAGUGGCGAAGGCGGCUCACUGGCCCGAUACUGACGCUGAGGUGCGAAAGCGUGGGGAGCAAACAGG